rnacentral:rRNA from 1 species
AACGAACGCUGGCGGCGUGCCUAACACAUGCAAGUCGAACGAGAAAGGGGGCUUCGGCUCCGAGUAAAGUGGCCCACGGGUGAGUAACACGUAGGUAACCUGCCUCUAAGAUUGGGAUAACAUGUCGAAAGACGUGCUAAUACCGAAUAAGACCACGGCUUCCUCGGAAGCAGGGGUCAAAGAUAGCCUCUACUUGUAAGCUAUCACUUAGAGAUGGGCCUGCGUACCAUUAGCAGUUGGUAGGGUAAUGGCCUACCAAGGCAAAGAUGGUUAGCUGGUCUGAGAGGAUGAUCAGCCACACUGGAACUGAGACACGGUCCAGACUCCUACGGGAGGCAGCAGUGGGGAAUAUUGCGCAAUGGGCGAAAGCCUGACGCAGCAACGCCGCGUGAGUGAUGAAGGCC